AAAAAGUAAUAAAGAACAACUGGUAAAUUAUACUAAAAUGUAAAGACAUGGCAUAAAAUAUUUAAAUUUACGUAAAUUUAACAUUUCCAGGCAUAUCUAAAAGAAAAAUAAGAAAAAUUAAUAUAAAAACGCAUUCGAAAUUAUGGAAAAAAUGCAUAUGCAUGUACAUAUAUACAAGAACCCCAAAAACCUUUGGUAAGCCAUAUACAUCUUAAAUAUAUUUAAGCGUGUCAAACAAAAAUUAACCAAAAUCAGAUAAGUACUUCAGGCAAAAUCAUUUCGGAAGGUAAAAAUUCCACAUACAUUUAAGGCAAAAGUGUAUACGAUGUGCAAAAGAAAUUCAAACUAAAAGUGGAUUAGGUGUAUAACAUAUACAUACCUAGAUAUUUGGCUAAAACAUAAACAUAAUGAAAAUCUAAGAAAGGAGAUGGAAUAUGUAGGAGAAUUAUCCGUUCGCUUUGGUGUAACGUUUUGUGUAAAUAACGUAUGAUUUUCUAAAAGAAGGAAACUAAAAGAAAAGAAAGAAACCAUUAAUCCAUUAAAACAAAAAUGAAAGUAAAUUCAAAUUAGAGCAAAUUUUUGUCAACAAUUAAAAUGACCUAGUAAAUGCUAAAUUCAAAUUUAUAUAGUACAUACAUAUGUAUGUAUGUAUGUAUUUGUGUACGCGUAUACAUGUGUAUGAAGUGUAUUGCAUAAGUUCGAUUUAUUUUGUUCGUAUCAAAAGAGAAAAAACCAAUGCAAAAUUUAAAUCAAAAACUAAUGAUAUUCAAAGCCAAUGACGAGAAACAACAACAAUAAAUGUGCUGAUGUGCUGAAGGCCGCAAAGAGAACGACAACCAGAUGGAAACAAUUUGAUUCCUUUCAAAUGUUUAGCUAACACAAUACCAAAUAAAUCGAUGGCAAAUUCAUUGUAAAAAAGUAUAAAAGCAACAAGUAAUGGGGUGGCAGAUGAACAAUUGCUAAAAGGAACAGUUACGAUCUGUGUAAAUGUGAACAUAAUGAACAAAAAACGAUAUAGCAGGUAUACAAUAAUGGCCGAAUGAAACCAAAACUAAAGUAAUGAACAACUUACCGCAAGGCGACAAAGCAAAUACAAAA